GGUUAGAACCCUCCUCGUCAUCAACAACAACUCUUUUCUUCAUCUUCAUAUCAUCAAUCGAGCUUGUCUUCAAGUCAUCCCAGCUCCGUAGUUGAAGCCGUGACCGCAAUCCAGUGGUCCACCACAUCAUCGCUGACAACUUGUCCUGUGUCUAGGGGCCGGCCUCAGUCUCCAACCGGGAUUAGUUCCCGUCUGGAACUCGGCAGUUUUCCAGGCCUCCUCUUCUGAUCCAAUUUGAGCCACUCCAUUGAGCAGGCCUCGUUCUCUCCUUAUUUGGGUCGAUUGUUGAUUGUCGAUUGUCGAAUGGUCCGUGAUCGGUAGACUAUUGGGAUCUCUGACCAUCGUCCUAACAAGCAUCCAUCCUUCGAUCGGCACUACCAAUCAGUUUGGCGGGACCCAGCUUUUCGCCGGACCAAUUUGUGGGUGUGUCCGGGUCCUCUUUGCUCCAUGUGGUUCUUCUACGCCUUGUCUUGGGUCUCGACCCUCAUUCAAAUCAUCUUUGUCACAUUAGCAAUUGCCGCGGGUCUCUACUAUUUGGCUGAAUUGGUGGAGGAGUACACGGUGCUCACGGCCAGAAUUAUCCGAUGGAUCACAUGGUUUACCAUCAUCAUCUACUUGGGCCUGUACCUGUUUGAAGAUCUCACGCUGACCAUGACAGUGUGCGGGCUCAUCAGUCAAAUUCUCCAUCUAAUUCUGCUCAACACAUUCCCUUUCUUUGCCCUCUCGUCACCACCUUUUAUUCUUGAUGUGGCCCUGGUCCUGGUCAAUCAUUACCUGGCCUUCCAGUUCUUUGGGGAAAAUUUCUACCCGUUUACAGAGGUUAUGGCGUAUUUCACGCUCUGCCUUUGGCUGGUCCCUUUUGCCUUCUUCGUAUCUCUUUCUGCCAACGAGAAUGUCCUGCCCACCUUAUCCGAACGAAGGCCUCUCAUCUCAGUCAAGCGCAAGCUUUAAGAUCUUGGAGCAAGGCGUACACACACACACACAUACACACCUCAUCUAUGUACACUCCUUAUGUCCACUAACAUUCAUACCUAUUUCAACAUCCGUAAUUCGACUAUCAGUACUGAGUCCAAAGGCAGACGUGAUUCCUCGUCAAGCUUUUCCAAUGUAAUGCCAAGACGCUUUGCAAGGCUUUCGUUUCACCUAUUCAAUCUAACUAAGGCGCGAGCUAUAUUCAUUUGCUUCGAUUACAUCUCAUUCAUGAUGAAAAUGACGUGGUGAGCAAUUAUUUCCAGCGCAAAGAGAAGAAGUAUGGCUUACUUGCGGCUUUUAAUGCCAUCAAAGAGUCCGUUCUGCCCACCCGUACCAAAAAGUCCUUUUGAAGCCGGCUUUCUUCGACUGAGAAACACAUAAAGAAGAAACGAAAGAAAGAGACCAGCCGAGGCGGCCAUGAUAGACUCUUCAAAGGAUCUCUCUUCCUUCUUGCGAAAAACACAUUUGAGACUCUUUUCUGUGAUUGAUUCAAGUGGAUAGUGCGCCGUUUCAUUCGCCCAGAUGUGGGACGGCCAAAUGGGCUGGGACGAAAAUGUUCGUGUGCAUAGAAUGGAUGUGUCGUGAAAGGCCUUGUUGUCAUACCGUUAUAUGUGACAGCCUAUGCCGUGAUCGCAAUGAACGAGCGAGUGCAAGUUAGAUUCAAGAUCUAUUUAUCAUUCAUUUUUGUGUUGCUUUUGUUUUCUUUUUGCGUGUGUUUGCCUUCGGGGAUUAAAAGCAAGAAAUAUUAUUUAA